rnacentral:tRNA from 1 species
GGUUCGGUAGCUCAGCUGAAUAGAGCAGCAGUCUUCUAAACUGCGGGUCGCGGGUUUGAGUCCCGCCCGAAUCA